GGCGUUCUGAAUUCUGCCACUGCCAUGACAGGAGCCUUUGGACUCAAGCUGCCAUGGUGCCUGAAGUCAUCACCAGGCUGGGAGAGGCACCAGAUGGGCAAGAAGGCUACAGCUUCUGCAGGACCCGGAAGAAAUGUCCAGAUCCAGAGGGUGAGGAAUUCAUCUACCAGCCUCUCAGGUUGUGAAUGUGCAGUCUGUUUCUUCGGGAAGAGCCCCAAGUGACAGUGUUCAAGUGGACCAGAUCUGCCCCUAUGUAGGAUUGCUAUCAGCCAAUGUGAAUGACAGACUAGGACCUCUGCCUGAGAAAUACAUUGAGGCAAAUGGUCACCACUGGGGAGGCAAAGAACAUUGUGCCCAGCAUGGUGAAUCACCAUAAAGAGGUUCCUCCCAACAGCCAUAGGAUGGUGGCACGUACUGCUCUGCCAUCCAGGAUGAUUUGACAGAGAAUGUCUGCAAACAGGGCCUGAAAGGAGAGAAGUAUUCAAACAAGAACUGAAAUAUCAGACAACAAAGAUCAGAAAUACCUGCUUUAAUGGAAGAAUGUUAUGCUGAUUCUUCGGCUACAAAGGAUUGCUUGUGCCUUUAUACAUAGUUUCCAGCAGCAAGAAGAGACUCACAGCACGGAUUGCAUUUCUUCUCUUCAGCAAGGGGAAGGGGUCUGCAGCUCAUCUGCAUCAGUUCAUCUAUAACACUGAGCCAGGUGACGGGGCUGGGACUUAUCCCUGCACACAGGACCUGGUUCAUCCAUCCACAAGCGUAUCAGGAGUGGGGGACUUGUUUCUGG